rnacentral:lncRNA from 1 species
CAGGUGGAUUUUUGCACCGACAGGAUUGGCGCUAGAGGAAGGGUUGAACCUUCACAGUACCCUUGUUCUUAAAGGAGCGCUCAAUGGGACCGCCUCCGGUCAUCUUUUUCAAUGUCCUCUCCUCCUUCCCCCACUAGGUCUUCGCCCGAUGCCUCCCCGCAAAGCAUCCACACGGUGAUCCACGACCUCCGCGGCCAGAUCUCAGGCUCCGGCCUCACCUCCAGUUUUCCAGCCUCCUCCCCCUUCUCCAGCAACGGUGGUUGGUGAGGAGCAAUUCGACCUACUAGUGCAGCAGGUCAGAGGCC